GACAGAGGGUGCAAACGUUGUUCGGAAUUACUGGGCGUAAAGCGCGUGUAGGCGGCAUCGUAAGUCGGGCGUGAAAUCCCACGGCUCAACCGUGGAAGUGCACUCGAAACUGCGAAGCUUGAGUCCUGGAGAGGAAGGUGGAAUGCUUGGUGUAGAGGUGAAAUUCGUAGAUAUCAAGCGGAACACCAAUGGCGAAGGCGACCUUCUGAACAAUGACUGACGCUGAAACGCGAAAGCGUGGGGAGCAAACAGG
rnacentral:rRNA from 1 species